AAUAAUAAUAAACAGUGGUUUCCGUGCCCAAUAUUUAACUGUCUGUCUUAUUUAAAAAAAUUAUGAAAAAAAUUAAAAAGACAAGUUACGCAUAAAAUAUUAAUCAUGUUUUAUCAUCUAACAACAGUGAAAAUACGAAUUAUAAAAAAAAUUCAUAUAAAACGGACAGUCAAAGUUAAACACGGAAAUCAGGGUUUGUCAUUUUU
rfam:Oryza barthii chromosome 9, whole genome shotgun sequence.